rnacentral:rRNA from 1 species
UCAACCGUAAAAUUGCAGUUGAUACUGGAUAUCUUGAGUGCAGUUGAGGCAGGCGGAAUUCGUGGUGUAGCGGUGAAAUGCUUAGAUAUCACGAAGAACUCCGAUUGCGAAGGCAGCCUGCUAAGCUGCAACUGACAUUGAGGCUCGAAAGUGUGGGUAUCAAACAGGAUUAGAUACCCUGGUAGUCCACACGGUAAACGAUGAAUACUCGCUGUUUGCGAUAUACUGCAAGCGGCCAAGCGAAAGCGUUAAGUAUUCCACCUGGGGAGUACGCCGGCAACGGUGAAACUCAAAGGAAUUGACGGGGGCCCGCACAAGCGGAGGAACAUGUGGUUUAAUUCGAUGAUACGCGAGGAACCUUACCCGGGCUUAAAUUGCAGAUGAAUUACGGUGAAAGCCGUAAGCCGCAAGGCAUCUGUGAAGGUGCUGCAUGGUUGUCGUCAGCUCGUGCCGUGAGGUGUCGGCUUAAGUGCCAUAACGAGCGCAACCCUUGUUGUCAGUUACUAACAGGUUCCGCUGAGGACUCUGACAAGACUGCCAUCGUAAGAUGUGAGGAAGGUGGGGAUGACGUCAAAUCAGCACGGCCCUUACGUCCGGGGCUACACACGUGUUACAAUGGGGGGUACAGAGGGCCGCUACCACGCGAGUGGAUGCCAAUCCCAAAAACCUCUCUCAGUUCGGACUGGAGUCUGCAACCCGACUCCACGAAGCUGGAUUCGCUAGUAAUCGCGCAUCAGCCACGGCGCGGUGAAUACGUUCCCGGGCCUUGUACACACCGCCCGUCAAGCCAUGGGAGCCGGGGGUACCUGAAGUGCGUAACCGCGAGGAGCGCCCUAGGGUAAAACUGGUGACUGGGGC